UUUGAAAUUAAGAUUAUGAUACUUUUUAUUUUGAUUUUGGAAAAGAAUUGAAAUGUGUUUGAUUUGCAGUAAUUGAGUUGGAUUGCUUUUGAAAUAUUUUGGAAAGUUUUUUUUUGAAUUGAUUUGGAACAAUAGUUAGUAACCGUGUUUUUGGAUUUGGGAAAAUGGUUAUUGGGAUAUGUUUUUUUUUUAUUUUUUUGAUAAUUGGACAUGUCUAUUUAUAAUAAAAUUAUAAGGUUAAAACAUUAAAAUAAAUUGAGAAAUCAAUGUUAAUAACUUCUAAUAAAAAAAAUCAUUUCCAUGAUUUUAUGCAACAUAUAGAAUAAUUUAUGUUUAAUAUAUUUUUUAAUUUGGAAAAAGUUUUCCAAAAUAAAAUAAAUCAGAAAAUUAUCAAUAAAAAGAAAAACAAAUGAAAAUUAAUAAAUAUAAAUUCCCUUUUUUAUUUUUUGACUUAUUUACUUACUCAUAUUGAUUAUUUUCAAAAAUAAAAAUAUUAUCCUAAAAAUAGAAUAAUCUAAAAAGAAUGAAACCUUUA
rnacentral:lncRNA from 1 species